GAAAUUGGUAAUUGGGAUUCUGAAUUUUUUAGGUUAAAAUCCUCACAUUGAAAAGGUAUCAGAAGUUGCUCCUACUGGAUCUGCCUGUGAUGAAGGGUGGGUAACCUUCAGGAACAUACUAUGAGAAAUCAAUGAAGCCUGAAUGUUUUUUUACUGUAUCCAAUCAGAUUGUUCCAACAGUUGGUGUUAGAUUCUCAGCAGACGACAUGGAAGAUUAUAAAUCUAGAAUGUAAACUAAUGCACCCACAAAUGAGGAGGAAAGACAAGGGGCUUUGAUGCAAUUGACGCUGCUCUAUAAAGGGACAGUGAUUGCAUCGCCUGAUUAAUUUCCUAGAGACGUUCUUGCAUUUGUCCACGGGGAAACACUCCAAGAUGACAGGGUCAUAAAAAUACGUGC